GACGAACGCUGGCGGCGCGCUUAACACAUGCAAGUCGAACGGAAAGGCCUGCUUUCCCUUGUGGAUUGCGGGUACUCGAGUGGCGAACGGGUGAGUAACACGUGAGUGAUCUGCCCCCAACUUGGGUAUAAGCCUGGGAAACUGGGUCUAAUUCCCGAUAGGACUGCAGGGUGGUGCCUGUGGUGGAAAACGAUUUUCUAGUGGUUGGGGAUGAGCUCGCGGCCUAUCAGCUUGUUGGUGGGGUAAUGGCCUACCAAGGCGGCGACGGGUAGCCGGCCUGAGAGGGUGGACGGGCACAUUGGGACUGAGAUACGGCCCAGACUCCUACGGGAGGCAGCAGUGGGGAAUAUUGCACAAUGGGCGGAAGCCUGAUGCAGCGACGCCGCGUGGGGGAUGACGGCCUUCGGGUUGUAAACUCCUUUCGGCCGCGAGGAAGCCACCUGGUUGGAAGGGUGGUGACGGUAGUGGUAGAAGAAGCACCGGCUAACUACGG
rnacentral:rRNA from 1 species